rnacentral:misc_RNA from 1 species
UAGUUAUUCUAGAGGGACCCUCUUGGAAGGAGGACUAACGCACGCUGCUUGUGUGUUUUGGGGCCCAACUUUCACUUUCGCUACCCUUUUUGUAUUCUUGUCAUUUUUUUUCUCCUGCGGGGUUGCCACUUUCUUGAUGUGUAAACAUUGCACGAGUAAGGGCCGCCUUCGUAUUUCAUCCUGGCAAGCCUCUGGGGCCCCCUGAUUUGCCAUUCCAUGUUUCUUCUCAGGCAUUCUCACAAUGUCAGCACUGUGCUCAGGCAUUCCAAUGGGCUAGUUUCCUUUUUUAAUGCGUAUUGUAAUUUGAUUGGUGAAGAACAUUUAUGUUUGUCUGCUUAUUUGCCUCAAAUCUCAUGGGGUUUUCUAGAUGAUGACUCUGGAUUUGGAUGGUUCGAUGUAAUUUAAAUUUGCAUGGUGUU